rnacentral:tmRNA from 1 species
GCCUUUGCAGGGGUCCGGCCGACAACCUAUAUUCAAAUCGCCGGGCUUGCCCGGCUAUGGCGAUAAAUGUCUUGCGCAAUAGGCGUAACGGACCCGGGGGCAGUACCCGGCGCCUCCACCAUCUUCGCCCGCGUGCGAAAGCACGCGGGCGCCUCAUGGGGGCGAACCAGGCUCGACGUGCGUUGAAAGGCAAGAACUUCGCCCGGCAUGGUUCCGCCGUUAUCGGGCCGUAUCAAUAGGUGCCAACGAUAACCAGUUGGCUCUCGCUGCUUAGUUUCUAAGCAAGCGCGGUUCGGGGGGCACCGGGCAACAGAAGCCCCCCACU